AAUGUCUUGAACUGCAGAGGGAAGGUUAGAAAGAGCACAGGCUCCAGUGAUUUUUAACUCCUUCCUCCUCAGGAAGGGUGUAGGUGGAGCAGCAAGCUGAAAGAACCUCUGUGAAUCCCACCCCACCCCCACCUGCCCCUUAAGCUGCUCCCCCAAAUAACAGCCAAGCGGAUCUGAUCUAACCUGAUGGGGGGGGGGAGCCCAAUGUGAUGUGUGAUCAUGCUGUGGUAGCGUUCUCAGCUUCUUUCCCCGUUAAUUAAAGUUGGAGAAAGGGAAAGGGAGUCUGCUCGGGAGAGGAGGCUCACUGAACCAGCUGCCCUUGAUUCUACUCCAUUGUCCUCCUAGGGCCAGGUGUGGAUGCCUCGGGAUUAAUGGAGCCAUAAGGAAAGCUGCCCCUGCUGCUUCUCAGGAGGUGGCAGGGUAACUACCCCAUAGAGGUGAGGGGAUGGAUGCCCGGACAGUGCCACCAGUGACUGCCAUGGAGGUGCCCAGCGUCAAAGAUUUCCACUGGAAGACCCUGGCCCCACUGCCCAGUCGUCGGGUCUACUCGUCCCUGGUGGAGGCGGGAGGACAGGUCUAUGCCAUAGGAGGCUGUGAUGACAACGGGGUCCCCCUGGACUGCUUUGAGGUCUACUCCCCUGAGGCUGACCAGUGGACUUCCUUGCCCCCCAUGCCCACGGCCCGGGCUGGGGUAGCUGUCAUUGCCUUGGGGAAACGGAUCAUGGUGAUUGGGGGUGUGGGAACCAAUCAGCUACCCCUGAAGAUUGUGGAGAUGUACAACAUCGAUGAGGGCAAGUGGAAGAAGAGGAGUGUGCUGAGGGAGGCUGCCAUGGGCAUCUCUGUCACUACAAAAGAUUACAGAGUUUACGCAGCAGGAGGAAUGGGACUGGAUCUCCACCCCCACAACCACCUACAGCACUAUGACAUGCUCAAGGACAUGUGGGUAUCAUUAGCCCCCAUGCCCACCGCCAGAUACGCUGCCACUUCCUUUCUCCGAGGUUCCAAGAUCUAUGUGUUAGGGGGACGACAAUCCAAGUAUGCAGUCAAUGCCUUUGAGGUCUUCGACAUUGAAACACGCUCAUGGACCAAGUUUCCCAGCAUCCCUUGCAAACGAGCCUUCUCCAGUUUUGUCCCCAUGGAUGGCUAUCUGUAUAGCCUGGGAGGCCUGCGGCAAGGCCGCCUCUAUCGACAACCCAAGUUCAUGAGGACUAUGGAUGUGUUUGACAUGGAGCAGGGAGGUUGGGUGAAGAUAGAGCGGUCUUCGUUCCUGAAGAAGCGCAGAGCUGACUUUGUAUCAGGCUGCUUAAGAGGGCGAGUCAUAGUGGCUGGAGGCCUGGGGGACCAGCCCACAGUCCUGGAGACAGCAGAGGCCUUCCACCCAGGGAAGAACAAAUGGGAGAGCCUGCCCCCCAUGCCCACUCCCCGCUGUGCCUGUUCCAGCAUCAUCAUCAAAGGCUGCCUCCUCGCAGUGGGAGGCGUCAAUCAGGGACUAAGUGAUGCUGUGGAAGCCCUGUGUGUCUCAGACUCCUAGCCUCAUCCUGGCGCCUCCCUCGAGAACCCCAGUCCUCGGAGAUUCGUCGUUUCUUGGCAGGGUUAAAGGAUUUCAUCAAAGCCGACCGAAAACUCCUCCAGUAUGUGAAAAGUGGGCAAGAUCUCCAGGGGCUCACUCUUCUGAAAUCCAUCCACCCCCACCCAGCCCUAUCUCCCAAGAAUAUGAAGAUAUGCCCCCUGAAAAGUCACUGGACAUAUGUCCAACCGGUCUCAAGCAGGGAAAGUCCCACCCUCACCCUCGGCUAUUGAAAGGUAGAUGGAUGCCCCCCUCCCCAUGCCAGCCUAUACCUUUCCUAUCAUCUGCCCUUACAGCUGGAGACAGAGUUCCAUGUCUUCUCACCGCCUGAUGUAAUAGGUCAUUGGAGGUCAAUGACUGCUGGACUGUUCUUGGGAUACCGAGAUGAAAAAACAGCAAGAAGCUUACAAUCUGAGGGUGGAAAGAUUAGCAUGGAUGCAAGCAACGGUAAUAUAUGUAACAACAGAGCCGUGCUGCGCCCAGGAGGGCAGGAGUACUCACCUACUCCCACUAAGGGACCCCCAAUUCCAGGUUCAUGCAAGUAUCUCAAGGCUCAGUCCUGGGGGAGCCUGAUCUCUAAAAAAAGAGGACCAAAGGUCCACUGGGUUAUUAUUCCACAGCACCAAGUCCUCCAGGGAUGAGUGCCCAUGGCUGUGAUCCCUGAAGUGGCCAGAGCAGUCAACCCAUAUGCCAAGCUGAGGCUCAGAUAAAUCAAGUGAAGGUCACUUCGCUAAUAAAUGGCAGAGGCUUCCUGAUCCCAAUCCUGUUUUAGUGCCGCAGUGGCAGAAGAAGAAUGGAGAAAAAGGAAAGAGAAUAGAGAAACUCCAGAAAUGACUGAAGAGUUGGAACAAUGGGAGUGAUUUCAAGGAUAGUCCCCAGGUCAGAGCAGGGAAGCAGGUGAAGGUUGUUUUCAACUCCAAAGCCUGCUUCCCCCAACUCCAUUCCCCACGCCUCAAGGACAGAUGUUUAUUCACUAUAUCACACUGGGGAUAGUUAUUAGAGGAAAAGGACUAUCUCACUGUUGGAUUUCAGAGGCCAGUAGGAUAUAUAUGGAGAUGCACUGUGAUCAAGUGGAAAUGUGAGUUUGAGGUUUGAGAGAAAGGCCAAAACUGGAGAUAGAGAUUCAAAGGAGUAAGUGAGAUUAUCCAGCUAGACAGUAGAGACGGUGAAAAGGACUAAGAACCGAACUUUGGGAUGUCCACAUACAGGGAGCAUGAAGAGGAUGAAGAACCCACAGAGGCAGAGAAAGAAAGAUAACAGAGUUAGGAAAGAGUAAAUUACUUGAACUGGAGAAAUGACUAAGGUUUCAGAGACUCCUGGGAAGAACUGUAUGAACAGAUACAAAGGGAAGUGAGCAUAACCAGAGGAAUAAUUGAUACAGUAACAACAACAUUGGGUUUUGUUUUGUUUUGUU